rnacentral:rRNA from 1 species
GCGCGAAAACUUUACACUACACGAAAGUGUGAUAAGGGGGUCCCAAGUGCCAAUACACUGUAUUGGCUUUUUUCAAGAGUAAAGACCUUGGAGAAUAAGUGGUGGGAAAGACUGGUGCCAGCAGCCGCGGUAAUACCAGCGCCACAAGUGGGGGCCAUGAUUAUUGGGUCCAAAGCGUUCGUAGCAGGUCAUGUAAAUCUUUUGUGAAAUCGUUGGGCUUAACCUAACGGCGGGCAGGAGACACUGCUUGACUUGAGACCGGGAGGGGUUAGAAGUAUUCCUGGGGGAGCGGUAAAAUGCUAUAAUCCCAGGAGGACUACCUGUGGCGAAGGCGUCUAACCAGAACGGGUCUGACUGUGAGGAACGAAAGCCAGGGGAGCAAACCGGAUUAGAUACGAGUUAUCGUCUGAUUUCUGAAAAUAAUUUGUUAGAUUUGCUAAUAAACUACAAUGACAAAUUAAUGAAAGAAACAUUUUGAAUGAUGAUUAUCUCGCUAAUUACCCGAGUAGUCCUGGCUGUAAACGCUGUGAGCAAGGUGUCGCGUAUUCUACGGAAUACGCGGUGUCGAAACGAAGGUGUUAAGCUCACCACCUGGGAAGUACGGUCGCAAGAUUGAAACUUAAAGGAAUUGG